GGGGCUGAGGUAGUAAAGCACCUGCUUUGCACGCAGAAGGUCCGAGGUUCAGUCCCUAGCAUCUCCA